CAGUAGCCACGGUAAGACGGAGGAUGCAAGCGUUAUCCGGAAUGAUUGGGCGUAAAGCGUCUGUAGGUGGCUUUUCAAGUCCGCCGUCAAAUCCCAGGGCUCAACCCCGGACAGGCGGUGGAAACUACCAAGCUAGAGUACGGUAGGGGCAGAGGGAAUUUCCGGUGGAGCGGUGAAAUGCGUUGAGAUCGAAAAGAACACCAACGACGAAAGCACUCUGCUGGGUCGACACUGACACUGAGAGACGAAAGCUAGGGGGAGCAAAUGGGAUUAGAUACCCCAGUAGUCCCUGUCUAUUAUA
rnacentral:rRNA from 1 species